rnacentral:rRNA from 1 species
CCUACGGGAGGCAGCAGUGAGGAAUAUUGGUCAAUGGCCGAGAGUCUGAACCAGCCAAGUAGCGUGAAGGAUGCCUGCCCUAUGGGUUGUAAACUUCUUUUAUAUGGGAAUAAAAUGUUCCAAGUGUGGGUUUUUGUCUGUACCAUAUGAAUAAGGAUCGGCUAACUCCGUGCCAGCAGCCGCGGUAAUACGGAGGAUCCGAGCGUUAUCCGGAUUUAUUGGGUUUAAAGGGAGCGUAGGUGGGUUGUUAAGUCAGUUGUGAAAGUUUGCGGCUCAACCGUAAAAUUGCAGUUGAAACUGGCAGUCUUGAGUACAGUAGAGGUGGGCGGAAUUCGUGGUGUAGCGGUGAAAUGCUUAGAUAUCACGAAGAACUCCGAUUGCGAAGGCAGCUCACUGGACUGCAACUGACACUGAGGCUCGAAAGUGUGGGUAUCAAACAGGAUUAGAUACCCCUGUAGUC